GGAGGUGUUUGUCGGCUGGUGCCGGCCGCGGCCUUCAAAGCCGUUGGAUGCGUGGUGAACGCGUUGGCGGGUUCGAUUCCCGUCCGCCUCCGCCA
rnacentral:tRNA from 1 species